rnacentral:misc_RNA from 1 species
AAGUCGUAACAAGGUAUCCGUUGGUGAACCAGCGGAUGGAUCAUUACCUGACCUGAAAAGGUAGCAAUUACUGUGUGGUUGAUGCCAACCUCUGGCGUGGCUGGUGAAUCAGUCUGCCAGUACUUGUAGUGUGCACACAGUUGCACGCUUGAUGAGUGAAGGAGUUGCUGGAGUGGCGAGAUGCCCCUCAAUUCCUGAAACGUGCCAUUGACUGACACUAAAGCAAUUGUCUCAAUCAAGUGACAACUGCUGGCCGUGGAUCACUUGGCUGACG